rnacentral:lncRNA from 1 species
UCCUCUUUGCAGAUAUAAGUGCAAAGGAGUAAAGGAGAAGCUUAAACUGCUGAAAAAUUCAAGGAGUUCCUAAGCAUUCAGACAUUUCUCUUUUGUGGGAAGGACACUUCUUUCCUUGAAAAUUGCCCCCAGAGUUUCAGCCCUGUGGGUCACCAAUAUCCCCAGGUCAGAAGACUGCGAUAUGGCCAACCCCUUCAGCUUUCUGGGGUGGCUUUUGCCACCAGCUAUCGCCUGUGCAGAGGAAGAGGAUGGACACACCAUGCUGUUUGAGAGCUGCUGCAUCUGCUGCAGUGUGCCCUCUGCUCAGAGCUCCCUGAGUCUCUAAGGCUUCAAACAGGAAUGUUAUCCAGAGGUGC